rnacentral:tRNA from 1 species
AAAUCCUUAAUUUAAAUAAAAUUUAAUAUUUACAAUAUUAAUAUACACUUCAUUAGUGUAAGAUUUU